UACGGAGGGUGCGAGCGUUGUCCGGAAUCAUUGGGCGUAAAGGGCGCGUAGGUGGCCCGGUCAGUCUUUGGUGAAAGCGCGGGGCUCAACCCUGCGUCGGCCAGGGAUACUGCCGCGGCUCGAGCACUGUAGAGGCAGGCGGAAUUCCGGGUGUAGCGGUGAAAUGCGUAGAUAUUGGGAGGAACACCAGUGGCGAAGGCGGCUCACUGGACCGGUUCUGACGCUGAGGCGCGAAAGCGUGGGGAGCAAACGGG
rnacentral:rRNA from 1 species